GCCUAGGUGGUGGAACUGGUAGACACCCAGGACUUAAAAUCCUGUGAGAGCAAUCUCGUGCGGGUUCGACCCCCGCCCUAGGUACCA
rnacentral:tRNA from 1 species